UGCCUAAACCUCAACAACUUUUGUUGUGAGGCAUGGCAAUAAAUUCCCGACCAAGAUAGUAACCUCCUCAUCAGGAGGACGCUCUUGGUCGGGUCGUAGCUCCGAAAGGACUACGGGCAGUUCGAAAGAGCUGUC
rnacentral:sRNA from 1 species